GUCUUUCAACUAAUAAAGAUCUAUUUUGAUAUGAAAAUAUUAAAAUUCAGUUGAAAAUGUCAGUUCCUAUGGCUUAAUGAUGGAUAAAUAUGAAUUUCAAGCAAAGGUCAAAAUCUAGAACGUCCCAAUUAACCUAUGACCUUGACCUCAAUUUCAAGGUCAUAGACUAAACAUCUCAAACAAAAAGACACUAGUUCCUUAAUAUGUAUGGUUCAUGAGUAAAAUCACUUUACGCAUAAUUCUUAACAUAAGAGGAGCGAAAACUCCCUUUUAUUGUUUACGCACCCUCGCA
rnacentral:lncRNA from 1 species